rnacentral:rRNA from 1 species
UGCCAGCAGCCGCGGUAAGACGAGGGGUCCAAGCGUUGUUCGGAAUCAUUGGGCGUAAAGCGGGUGUAGGUGGAUUUAUAAGUCAGAAGUGAAAGCCCCGGGCUUAACCCGGGAAGUGCUUUUGAUACUGUAGAUCUUGAGUGUGGGAGAGGAUAGCAGAAUUCCUGGUGUAGUGGUGAAAUACGUAGAGAUCAGGAGGAAUAUCGGUGGGGAAGCCGGCGGUCUGGCCCAACACUGACACUCAGACCCCACAGCGUGGGCAGCAAACAGGAUUAGAUC